rnacentral:lncRNA from 1 species
GUUUGACCCACUCUGUUUUACUCUGCUGAAUACCAACCAUUUUUAAUACUGAUAACGAUCAAAUGUAGACACUGUUGGGUUUAAAAGCAGGAUAUCAUAUAACAAUUGAGUCAAUUAGUUAUCACAUUGUUUUUCAAGUAGUUAUUAAGCCUAUAAAUAACCAUCUCUGGAACACUGGACAAUGAUCGUGAUCCAUGCGCUCAUCUGCCUAGACAAGUGGUGUCCAGAUGGGAUCCUUCCAGCAGCAGCUCAUCCAGGGAGAACAGCUCAAAGCAAAGACAGAAUGAAGAAGAGAAGAGAGAGAGAGAGAGAGAGAGAGAGAGAGAGAAUCUUACUCUCAUUCCAAGGGAUACGCACGCACGCAAACAGCUCCACAGAAGGAAUCCUAAACACAAUUCCAUGGAAAUUCCCGGAGUCGAAAGGGAGAGAAAAAAGUCUUUAGAAUGAUAAAAAUAAACAAACAUGUUUGGACUCAUUGUGGGAGCAUUACACCCCAUGGAAGCCCUUUUCUACCAGACCCCAAUGCAUGAGGAAAGACUAUCCCACUUUAAACACGGCCGGUGAAGGUAUCAUUUAUCUUUCCCCAUUAUGCGAGGUCAAAGCAGUUAUAAUGUAAUACCUGCUAGGACUCCUCUCAUGGCCUAUCUUUAGACUGCUGCCAUACGUACGAAGACUUGGUCUUCCAUCGACAACUUCCUAAUUACAGAAGAGGGUGAGCCUGUCAUAUACUUGUGUGUUUUUAAAUUUUAAUUUUACCUUUAUUUAACUAGGCAAGUCAGUUAAGAACAAAUUCUUAUUUUCAAUGACGGCCUAGGAACAGUGGGUUAACUGCCUGUUCAGGGGCAGAACGACAGAUUUGUACCUUGUCAGCUCGGGGGUUUGAACUUGCAACCUUCCGGUUACUUCCGGUUACUAGUCCAACGCUCUAAAUCACUAGGCUGUACACAUCAGAUGGGCCUUGAUCCAUCAGUCCUCGGAAUUAUUAUAUCUACCGACACCCAAAGUUAUAAGAGCUCACUGCGAGGGUUGAAAUGAAUAGCCAACAAGAGGUUUGCACGGGAUGUCGGCUGGACUUCCUCUGGUAAUUUUCGAACCAGAGGAAACUAUCUGCAAUACAACGGUGCGGAGCUGCAUGCAGGACUGGUCUGCAAAGAAUCUCCUGCAAAUCCUCAGGUGCUGUUGAUGAAAUUAGGGUGCUGUGGAACUGAAGCGCAUGAUCCCGGCCCAUCUGCUGUUGAUGUUAGGAUAAGCAGCGUUUAAUCAAACUCAUGGAACGGUUACCACAAAUGACAUCAAGACUCGAAAGGUCAAAGGAACAAUUAUGUACUGGGGGAGGUUGAUCUGGAAGAUGUUGCGGCUGUGUUGGGGUCAUUCUGAGGGGACCUUUUGACAGACUUUUCUUUACUCAACUGUUUCUUCUCAUUUAGGAUAGUUGUAUACAUUUAUUUUUUGUGUUGUAGGUUUUUCCCAAAUUUCAUCGGAGACACUAGUUGUAUAAAAAGAUAUGCAAUGAAUAAAAGGAUAAGAAGAUUGUGUACUGAAAUACACUUCUCCAAAUGCUAUCCUAUAGUCUUAUCCAUUGCACUGUAAAUCCCAAAAUAGCUUUGGUGAGUGAAAGUCCCCAUAAGUAUGAGAGAGGUCAUGAGUGGCCGGUGACAGGAAUGACAGAGUGCAAGGCGAGUAUUCUGCAAUAAGUGUGCUUUGAUGACCUGAGAGAGAGAGAGACAGGAACAGACAGACAGAGCGCGAGAGAGAGAGAAAGAGAGAGAGAGGAGAGAGAGAGAGAGAGAGAGAGAGAGAGAGAGAGAGAGAGAGAGAGAAGAGAGAGAGAGAUAUGUAUAGUAUUGUCAGGACAGCCCAGAGAGAGUGCAUGGUUACCUGCUGUCAAGCCCGAGCUGACAACAGGCCUGCUAUUCAUUCUGAUAAGAGCACAGUGUAAUUGCCGUGUGGGCCAGCAGUCGCUGCUGAUGUUUUGCCAACACACAAUCAAGAUGCCUGCAGGAGAUUAUCGCGGCAUAAACCAUUCCGUCUGUCCGUUUCCUUUAGCAACCUGAUUUUUUAGCUCUGAACAGGAUUAAGCCGAAUCUGUUCCGUUUUUGGAGUCUUCUGGUAUUCUAAUUUGGAUUAAAUAACCACUCAUUUAACAGUCUGCAGCAGCAGAUGUUGUAAAAUGUCUGUUUUUAGACUGUUGCAAAAGAGGGCAAGCGCUGACGUAUGCUUUUGAAUAUAGAUACUGUAAGUCUUGCUAUUGUUAGUUGUAGUUUUUUUUUAUUAACCUAAUAGAGUUAAAUAGCAGGCUGAUCUAAUACAAGCACAUAAUACGUGGAUGAAUAAAGAUAAAAAAUAAAGAUGCUCUUUGAGAAAUGCAAGGGAUUUCCUCUUCAUGGUCAUUGACCCAUGUAUACAUCACGCCACUCAUAGACUGUUGUGUCACGUGAACUGGCCAUUUCCCUCACGUUUCUUUCAGUGGAGGUGCAAAUGAAGAUAUGAUGGGGUAUUUCAGAACCACCAUGACAUACAUGUCAGCUCUCGAAAAAUAAACCUUUUCCAUGUUGUUUUUUUUCAACGCCCCACUUGACCGUUUC